GCCUACGGCCAUACUCAGCCUGGGCAAACGCCCGAUCUCGUCUGAUCUCGGAAGCUAAGCAGGGUCGUGCCUGAGUUAGUACUUGGAUGGGAGACCGCCUGGGAAAACCAAGUGGCUGUAAGUA
rnacentral:rRNA from 1 species